AUUAUAGCUUUAGAAAUUCCCCCUUUUUCCUUUUUUUUUUUUUUUUUUUUUUUUUUGAAACGAGAAUCUUUUGAGUCUUUCAUCAUUUUCUUUUUCUCUGUCUCCCUCCUAUUUAAUAUUGACUUUGCUUCCUUUGUGAUUCAUAAGUCGCUUUCCACUAUUACUUCUGUUCCAAACUAGUGAAUGUUUAUAGAGAAUUGUUUUCACUGAAAAAGAAUAUAAGAAGAAAAAAAAGAAUACGGAAAAGAUAGACAAAAAUAAAAUAAAAAGUCUGAAUUCUUAAGCAUAUUCUCUCUCCUAAACUUUCACAUUUAAAGUGAUUUUUUGUAGUCAAUCUACCUUACUAGAUAUAUUCAAUAGUUCAACAUUUGCCAGCAAUUUAGUCCACUAAAAUGCAAUAGAGGACGAAAUGAUUAUUGCUAUAUUUAUGGUUUUGUUUAUUAUUUGAUGCCAAUUUGUUGAUUUCUACCAUUUCAGUACCUACUUCAUGCGUGCAAAGCUUUCUAUAUUCUCUGUUUAUCUUGACAUCCGCAUAAAGUUCAUCAUGUCUUUAGCUGUUGGAUCAAAUAUUUAACGGUUGAGAUCGUUUGAUUAAUAAAGUGUUAGCCCUUAUAUUGAAUUGAAUGACCCUCACUCUUGUUUGUUGCUUCAUUGAAAUUUAAUACACAAAAACAAACAGAGCCUUGUUGAGAGUUUGCUUAAGAACGCUUGACCUUUCUUCUAAUUGGCUAUGACGACGACAACAUUGGAGCAGAAGGUUAAGAAACCGAACUCCUCCAGCAACAACAACAGAACUGGGAGAAGCACUUUUCAAAAGUGUAGAUUUCGAUCCCCCAAAUCCCUUAAAGGACUGCAAUUCUCUCCACUGUGCUUUCUAAAGCACCUAGCCGAUAAAGUGACUCGAGCUUUGCAUUUCAUGGCUAUGAAGAGAAAUCGACCCCUUCAAAAACAACCUGUUCCGGCCGUGCCCCUUGCGAGUUCGAAGGCAAUCCAGGUCCCGGCCACCGUCGAUUCGCAUAGAACAGAGGCUGUGGAGGACUGCAUCAAGUACAUCAACGCUUCCACUUAGCUCACACCAAAUUCUUCUAAGAUUUUCUCCUGAAAGUGCGUAUAUAUGUCGGGGUUUUGUGGGUUUUAAUGUUUGAUAUCAUAUUGGUGUGGAUCAUGAAAUAUAUGAUGCAAUAUGUUCUUUGUUUAGAUGAAAAUUUUGGGGAAUUUGAAAACGUCCAUUCGUCCAUCACUCUCAAUUUUCCAUUAUUUUUCUUUCUGUCAUUUUAUUAAUUUUCAUUCCAUGAUAGAACUUAAGAAGUAGAUUUUACACA